UACGAAGGGGGCUAGCGUUGCUCGGAAUCACUGGGCGUAAAGGGUGCGUAGGCGGGUCUUUAAGUCAGGGGUGAAAUCCUGGAGCUCAACUCCAGAACUGCCUUUGAUACUGAAGAUCUUGAGUUCGGGAGAGGUGAGUGGAACUGCGAGUGUAGAGGUGAAAUUCGUAGAUAUUCGCAAGAACACCAGUGGCGAAGGCGGCUCACUGGCCCGAUACUGACGCUGAGGUGCGAACGCGUGGGGGAGCAAACAGG
rnacentral:rRNA from 1 species